rnacentral:lncRNA from 1 species
AGGCAGCAGAGCACAUCACUGGCACGAGGCUUCCUGCCAUUCAGGACAUUUAUCUCCAGCGAAUCCUCCGUAAAGCACACAGCAUCAUCAAGGACCACAGCCACCCAGCACAUCAGCUCUUCUCCUUGUUACCAUCUGGCAGACGUUACAGGAGUCUGUCUGCUCGGACUACAAGACUUAAAAACAGUUUUACCACCAAGCCAUACGACACCUCAACCACAACACUUAAACACACACAACACAGCACUCAGAAGCUACCCUGCAGCUUCACAAGUACUCUGUUUAAUCUGCACUGGUCACUUCACUUUAUUGUUAUUGAUAUUUAUAUUUAAAAAGUGCAAUACUGUAAUUUUCUGCUGCUCAUUCCUGUGCAAUAUCCCAUCUGCAUACAUAUAUAUUUAGUCAUCUUUUCUCUUUUACCAUGUCUCUCUAAUAUUUUGCUCUUUACUAUUUUUUUAUUUUUUAUUUUAUUUUAUUUUAUUAUAUUUUGUUAUAUUUUCUCCUACUGUAUCAUGCUGCUGAGUGACUGCUGCUCGUCAAACACAUUUCAUUGCAAUGUUGACCCUGUGCUAACUUGGAUAUGACAAAUAAAACUGAAAACUGGGAAUCCCCGGCAGCCUACGUCUAUUGCAGCAUAACUAAGGGAGGAUUCAGGGUCACCUGGUCCAGCCCUAACUAUAUGCUUUAGCAAAAGGAAAGUUUUAAGCCUAAUCUUGAAAGUAGAGAUAGUGUCUGUCUCCCGAAUCCAAACUGGAAGCUGGUUCCACAGAAGAGGGGCCUGAAAACUGAAGGCUCUCCCUCCCAUUCUACUUUUAAAUACUCUAGGAACAGCAAGUAGGCCUGCAGAGCGAGAGCGAAGUGCUCUAAUAGGGUGAUAUGGCACUACAAGGUCAUUAAGAUAAGAUGGGGCCUGAUUAUUUAAGACCUUGUAUGUGAGGAGCAGGAUUUUGAAUUCAAUUCUGGAUUUAACAGGAAGCCAAUGAAGGGAGCCAAAACAGGAGAAAUAUGCUCUCUCUUUCUAGUCCCUGUCAGGACUCUUGCUGCAGCAUUUUGGAUCAGCUGAAGGCUUUUCAGCGAGUUUUUAGGACAUCCUGAUAAUAAAGAAUUACAGUAGUCCAGCCUGGAAGUAAUAAAUGCAUGAACUAGUUUUUCAGCGUCACUCUGAGACAGGAUAUUUCUAAUUUUAAAGAUAUUGCGCAAAUGGAAGAAAGAAGUCCUACAUAUUUGUUUAAUAUGUGCGUUGAAGGACAUGUCCUGGUCAAAAAUGACUCCAAGGUUCCUCACAGCAUUACUGAAGGCCAAGGUAAUGCCAUCCAGAGUAAGAAUCUGGUUAGAUACCAUAUUUCUAAGAUUUUCAGGGCCAAGUAUAAUAACUUCAGUUUUAUCUGAAUUAAGAAGCAGAAAGUUAGCGGCCAUCCAGGUCUUAUGUCUUUAAGGCAUUCCUGCAGUUUAACUAAUUGGUGUGUGUUACCCGGCUUCAUGGAUAGAUAGAGCUGCGUGUCAUCUGCAUAGCAGUGAAAAUUUAUGCUAUGUCUUCUAAUGAUGCUGCCUAGGGGAAGCAUGUAUAAUGUAAAUGAAUUGGUCCUAGCACCGAACCCUGUGGAACACCAUAAUUGACCUUAGUGUGUGAAGAGGACUCUCCAUUUACUUGAACAAAUUGGAGUCUAUUAGACAGAUAUGAUACAAACCACUGCAGCACAGUACCUGUAAUACCUACAGCAUGUUCUAAUCGCUCUAAUAGGAUAUUAUGGUCAACAGUAUCAAACGCAGCACUAAGGUCUAGCAGGACAAGCACAGAGAUGAGUCCACUGUCAGAGGCCAUAAGAAGAUCAUUUGUAACCUUCACUAAAGCUGUUUCUGUGCUGUGAUGAGCUCUGAAACCUGACUGAAACUCUUCAGAUAAGCCAUUCUCUGCAGAUGACCUGUUAGCUGUUUGACAACUACUCCAACACUUC